rnacentral:sRNA from 1 species
AGCGCCUGCGGCGGAUCCGGCACAGGGCUUCAUCGGUGCUUCGCAGGCAGCUGCCCUGUGUACGAUCCUGUAUAUCCAUCAAUUUGAUGGAUUUAACGAUUUC